rnacentral:tRNA from 1 species
GGGGCUAUCAUCUAAUUGGUUAGGAUGCAAGUUUUUCAAGCUUGUCAUGGGGGUUCAAAUCCCCCUAGCCCUA